rnacentral:lncRNA from 1 species
AUGGAAGACCUUUCUCUCUGUCUCUCCCUCUCACUGUCUGUAACUGCCUCUCCCUUCCUGGUCGUGGGAGGGAAGAACAAUUUCAGGAGAAGCUGUUGCCGUAAGGGGUCAUUCUGGGGACACAUUCUCGUUUUCUGGAAAGCAAAUCUCUCGUGUGUGCAGUUUCAGAUGGGGACGAAGCUGCACGGGGUGGGUCACUCCUUCCCUGGUGGGGGGGGGGACUGUCCCACUUGUCUGGCAAGCAGCAAACAGGAAGUGAGCAGGAGACGGGAGGGCGCCGUGCUGGGCGCAUCGCGUCUUGCAGAGGUUCAGCGGCCCUGUGCAGCUGCCUCUCCCUCCAAGGUCCAUAAAAGCUGCCCUGCGGGUGCUGCUCUUGGCACUAUGACAUUCAGGGGGCUCCCAGGUGCCACCGACCCCCACACGGGCACGGCAUGGGGGGCUGCGUAUGGUCACAAUAGGAGGACUGCGCCCACCAGACACCUCGUCAGAGGAACACGAGAGCAUGAGGCGAGGCAGCGGAAUCCCACCUCCGCCUCCAUCAGCCAGGUGCCCGUUGCUUCUCUGUUCUUUCUAAUCCUGUGCAGGCAUCUUUCCUGGAAACUACAUCCACUCAGUGGAAUUGCUCGUUUUGUUUUAAAGAUUUAUUUAUUUGAAAAGCAUAGAGAGGGAGACAGAGAGAGAGAGAGAGAGAGAGAGAGAGAGAGAUCUUCCAACCUCUGGUUCACUCCCCCAAAUGGCUGUGUUGGCCAGGAGCCAAGAACUCCAUCUGGGUCUCCCACGUGGCUGCAGGGGCCCAGGCACUUGGCCCGUCACCUGCUGCUUUCCCAGGUGCGUAGCAGGGAGCUAGAGGGGAGAGGAGUGGUGAGCUUGAACGAGCGCUCACACGGGAUGCCGGCAUCGCGGGCAGGCGGCAGCUUGUCCUCCUGUACCAGCAACAACCCUGGCGGUAUUCGUCUUCAUUGUCUGCAUGUAUCAAGUGGUGCUGGCCUCUGCGCAGAGUGA